GACGAGGGGUCCUAGCGUUGUUCGGAAUCAUUGGGCGUAAAGCGGGUGUAGGCGGCCAAAUAAGUCAGAUGUGAAAUCCCAGGGCUCAACUCUGGAAGUGCAUCUGAAACUACUUGGCUUGAGUAUGGGAGAGGAUGGUGGAAUUCCUGGUGUAGUGGUGAAAUACGUAGAUAUCAGGAGGAAUACCGGUGGCGAAGGCGGCCAUCUGGCCCAAUACUGACGCUGAGAUCCGAAAGCGUGGGUAGCAAACAGG
rnacentral:rRNA from 1 species